CGCGGCCCACUUCCGGAGAGGUGGCAGAGUGGUCGAAUGUACCUGACUCGAAAUCAGGCGUACGUUUAUAGCGUACCGUGGGUUCGAAUCCCACCCUCUCCGCCAGACACAAGAAAGGCCCCAAACGGGGCCUUUCUUGUGUCUGGCGGUGCAAGUGCGUGGACGAACCCAUCGGGGGCGACA
rnacentral:sRNA from 1 species